UAAUUCAUAUUUUUUUAUUUUUCAGACAUAAAAUCUGAGCAAAAUCAAGCCAAAAUAUCUAAAAAUUCAUUUAAAAUAGCCUUCGGUGCACAGAGGACCGGCCGCUUGGUCCACAGAAUUAGGGGUGCGGUUCAUAGAAACAGUUCGCGAUCUUUGACGUGGUUCACAGGUAGGUGGAAGAGUUUUGUGCGAUCAGACGGUCA
rnacentral:lncRNA from 1 species